UUUACAGAUGCUGCUUCAGCUGUCUUUGUCAUUCCAGAAAAAGUCUUGCAGCAGACAGGUGCUUUGACCAAAUGUAUAAGCCCUGGUGAGAACAUUACCUUCUGGUCCAGACUCAUGAAGCCCAGCGCAUACCCCUGGCACUCCAUUUUGUUAAUGAUCUGUGGCAGGAUGAGUGGGAUGAAGGCAACAUGGAUGGAGGUGCUGCCACCUCCUGGGAUCACCUGGAAGCAGAGCAACAGAAAGACAUUAUUCAGCACAAGCACACGACCUAUUUGGCAUUGUGGAAAUGCUGUCGGGGCUAUGCACCUGGGAAUAACAUGAAGCCUUGCACUUCAAGCACAGAGAAAGAGCUCUACAGACUGGCCCAUGGCCAGAUCUGCACCAAAACGACAGUGUGUCAUUAAACCAUUGUGAGAAUUUCA